AAAAAGAGACACAGGUGAAACUUGACAUCCUCUGAUUAAAAUCAGUUUUACUUUCAAACGGUCCCGGGACAUGGAUACCUCGUAGGAAAAUAAACUUUUAAACGUUUAUUAUGCUGCUAACAGCUGUUGCUAAUGCAGCUGUUAGCUGAAAACCAAAGCAGCGAAGACAGGACAGGACUUUAAAAGGAAGUUGGACGCCAACAGUAAAUAGAUGGCUCAUGUGUACAAUUGACAACCCCAUUGUGAAGGAAAUGAUGCCCGACCAAAGGGGUUGCAUUGUCUCUGGCCAUGGAUCCAACAGGAUAAAACAUCAUAUGGUGGCCAAAGGAAGAAGUUCAGUUGUGGAUGCUGAAUACCCUGCAAAAUAACGGGCAUGAAGAUCCAGAAACAGAGAAGGUGAAGCAGACGUAUGAAGAA